rnacentral:tRNA from 1 species
AAGUCCAGGCAAAAUUUCUUUUGCUUCUUGAGGUUUGCAAACUCUGUACUAGACC